rnacentral:ncRNA from 2 species
GUGUAAGUAUAAACAAAUUCAAACUGUGAAACUACGAAUGGCUCAUUCAAUCAGUUAUAGUUUGUUUGAUGGUAUCUACUACUCGGAUAACCAUAAUAAUUCUUGAGCUAAUACGUAGAACAAACCACGACAUGUGGAAGGGAUGCAUUCAUUAGAUAAAAGGUCGAUGUGGGCUCUGCCAAUUAUUGCGAUGAUUCGUGAUAACUCGACGGAUCGUAUGGCUAUCGUGCCGGCGAUGCGUCAUUCACAUUUCUACCCUAUCAACCUGAAAUCCAAUUAUUUCUAACUUUUGAAAUAUGAAGUUUAUCGAU